rnacentral:lncRNA from 1 species
CAAACCAGAAGGAGCAUCUCCCUCCCAUAACCCUUCGGGAGUCUGGCUUUAAGUUGUGACUGUUAGACAAAACCAGUUCUGGAGCAUAGCCUAGUUAAGUAACAAGACUGCAUAGAAGCUGAAAUUUACCUGCAACAAUUGUUCUAUAGCAUGGGUAGGCAAACUAAGGCCCGGGGGCCGGAUGCGGUCCAAUUGCCUUCUCAGUCUGGCCCAUGAACAGUCUGGGAAUCAGCAUGUUUUUACAUGAGUAGAAUGUGUGCUUUUAUUUAAAAUGCAACUCUGGAUUAUUUGUGGGGCAUAGGAAUUCGUUCAUUAUUAUUUUUCCAAAAUAUAUUCCGGCCCCCCACAAGGUCUGAGGGACAGUCGACCGGCCCCCUGCUGAAAACGUUGGCUGACCCCUGCUCUAUAGUGUAGGCCAGACUUCACCAACUUACUGUCCUGUGCGUUUUGUUGCACUAUAAAUCCCAGUAUCCCUGAACAAUGACUAUGCUGGCUGGGUCUGAUAGGAGCUGGAGGACAACAUCUGGAGGGCAUCAGACAAGGCUGGUGAACUCUUACUGAAUAGUCAUUAUUUUGAUGGGACUUGCGUGAGCCUAGUUUUCUCUAGAUUUUGCCUGCUUUGUGCUAAUGCACUGAAUUUAUCUCAAUGUUUCUGGUGUCGAAAUCCUAUCCCUGAAAUUAAACAGAGGCAUAUAUUUUUGGUUAGCAUUUCUUCUUCUUUCCUCCUGUCUUUGCCUAAGUCCUGCAGACCAGAACUCCUCCUGCUGAUUCAGUUUAUCUUUUCAUUUGUGGACAACAGUCCAAGCGAUGGAGGUUAUUGUGUAUCAUUUUGUGUUUGUUAAGAUUGUGGUUCUUUUAGCAUAUACACUUUUCCAAGGUUCUGUGUUGUAUUCAGAGAAGACUCUCUGAUUGUAUGUAGUUGUUUCAUCUUGGUUAUAUAAAUUUAUUUUUUAGAAAGCAGAUACAAAGAUAAUGCUUUGUGCUGCAAUUCAGCUGCACUUGUGAUUGUGGAGUGGAUAUGACUGGUGAGAACACGGUUGACUGGAACAUUAGAGAGAUGAGGAUUGCUAAAAUAAAUAAAUCUUGCUUAGGUCAAAGAACAUACUUAACAAAGAGGAUGGAUGCAUUAAGAGGAUGGAUGCAAUAAACAAUCCCCUGGUAAUUCAUCUGCUUUUCGGCAAACCAUCUCUAGGAUUCUCACAAUCCCACCCAAAGAGUUCACACAUCAGGCAAAAUCAACACUUUGUUUUUGCCGUGUAUAAAUCUGUUGGUGAGACUCAUAGUAGAAUCAAGCAAUGCUUUUCUGCCAAGACAAAAAGAUUCUUUGUGAAGAGGAUGCGAUUAACCCUCACUGUGAUUAAUGAUGUGUGGCUUGAAUCUCUGUGCAUCAAAUGCAAUGCUCCAUAGACCAGCAGGCAACCUUUUGUUAGUUUUGUGUCUGUUUUGCUGGCUUGGCCUGUGGUUGUAUUGAAAUACAUUGGUCUUGUGCCGGACUACAAGUAUUUGUACACGGUUAACAAGCGAUAGUACUGUGUUAAUUAUACAGAAAGUUCCAACCAGAAACUAUUUCUUCUCAGUAAGUUCAUUUUAUCACUAAAAAUAACAUAAGCUAAAAAACCCCAUUACUUUAACCCCCCCACACGCUGAUAGCUAUGCUACAUCUUAAAUUUUCAUUGAGAAAUUAUAUAGUUUUUUGAUUGACAGAUGCCAGAAAAUCAAAUCAGCUGAAUGUGAAUGAACAGAAUAUGAACAGGAUAUUUUAAAACUCUGUGGUCCAAAGGAAAGCAGAGCAAUAUGUUUGGCACCACCUUGGCUGCAGGAGUUGAAGAACAGAGGCGUUCAAGGUGCUAUCCAACUGUCUUAGGGACCCUGCUCUGCAUUUGUGUAGGGUUUACUCCUUCUCCUGAGGAAAUCCCACAAGGCAGCAGAGGUUUAGGAUCAGAGUUUUCAUUCUCCUAUAUGGGCUAAAUUACCAGGCUGAUGAUUUCCAUCUGCCCCUCAAUUCCCUUUACAACACAUGCAGAAACUGCCUUCUUGACCAUUGGACCCACUAUGGAUCUCAUCCGAUCAAUCCACUGUAGCCUGUCUCCACAUGCAGGGGAAGUCUAUAACUCACCUUUUUUAGCUGGCCAGCCAAAGCCUUUCACAGGGUGUAGCCGCUGUUGCAUGUUGGCAGCUUCUAGGAGCCACAGAUGAGUGCUGAGUUCAGGGUCGGGACCAAAGGUCACCCCUCCAGGUACUACCCCUCCUCUACCACCCAAUACACUACAAUAGUGGUGUAAAGGUAAAGGGACCCCUGACCAUUACGUCCAGUCGUGACCAACUCUGGGGUUGCUGCGCUCAUCUCGCUACAUUGGCCAAGGGAGCCAGCGUACAGCUUCUGGGUCAUGUGGCCAGCAUGACUAAGCCGCUUCUGGCAAACCAGAGCAGCGCACGGAAACGCCGUUUACCUUCCUGCUGGAGCGG